rfam:Schistosoma rodhaini strain Burundi genome assembly, scaffold: SROB_scaffold0000238
AUCCAGCUGACGAGUCCCAAAUGUGACGAAACGCGCGUCCUGGAU